UACGUAGGGUGCAAGCGUUGUCCGGAAUUAUUGGGCGUAAAGAGCUCGUAGGUGGUCUGUUGCGUCGGCUGUGAAAUCCCGAGGCUCAACCUCGGGCCUGCAGCCGAUACGGGCAGACUAGAGUUCGGCAGGGGAGACUGGAAUUCCUGGUGUAGCGGUGAAAUGCGCAGAUAUCAGGAGGAACACCGGUGGCGAAGGCGGGUCUCUGGGCCGUAACUGACGCUGAGGAGCGAAAGCAUGGGGAGCGAACAGG
rnacentral:rRNA from 1 species